rnacentral:rRNA from 1 species
GUCGGGAAUUUUGGGCAAUGGGCGAAAGCCUGACCCAGCAACGCCGCGUGAGGGAUGAAGUAUUUCGGUAUGUAAACCUCGAAAGAAUGGGAAGAAUAAAUGACGGUACCAUUUAUAAGCUCCGGCUAACUACGUGCCAGCAGCCGCGGUAAUACGUAGGGAGCAAGCGUUGUUCGGAUUUACUGGGCGUAAAGGGCGCGUAGGCGGCGCGGUAAGUCACUUGUGAAAUCUCUGAGCUUAACUCAGAACGGCCAAGUGAUACUGCUGUGCUAGAGUGCGGAAGAGGCAACCGGAAUUCUUGGUGUAGCGGUGAAAUGCGUAGAUAUCAAGAGGAACACCUGAGGCGAAGGCGGGUUGCUGGGCCGACACUGACGCUGAUGCGCGAAAGCCAGGGGAGCAAGCG